rnacentral:rRNA from 1 species
UGGGGAAUCUUGGACAAUGGGGGAAACCCUGAUCCAGCCAUGCCGCGUGCGUGAAGAAGGCCCUAGGGUUGUAAAGCGCUUUCAGACGUGAAGAUGAUGACGGUAGCGUCAGAAGAAGCCCCGGCUAACUCCGUGCCAGCAGCCGCGGUAAUACGGAGGGGGCGAGCGUUGUUCGGAAUCACUGGGCGUAAAGCGCGUGUAGGCGGCCGUGGUAGUCAGAUGUGAAAGCCCUGGGCUCAACCUGGGACGGGCAUUUGAUACUCCACGGCUUGAGUCCGGGAGAGGGUAACGGAAUUCCCAGUGUAGAGGUGAAAUUCGUAGAUAUUGGGAAGAACACCGGUGGCGAAGGCGGUUACCUGGACCGGCACUGACGCUGAGACGCGACAGCGUGGGGAGCAAACA